rnacentral:rRNA from 1 species
GACGAACGCUGGCGGCGUGCCUAAUACAUGCAAGUAGAACGCUGAAGGAGGAGCUUGCUUCUCUGGAUGAGUUGCGAACGGGUGAGUAACGCGUAGGUAACCUGCCUGGUAGCGGGGGAUAACUAUUGGAAACGAUAGCUAAUACCGCAUAAUAGUAGAUGUUGCAUGACAUUUGCUUAAAAGGUGCAAUUGCAUCACUACCAGAUGGACCUGCGUUGUAUUAGCUAGUUGGUGGGGUAACGGCUCACCAAGGCGACGAUACAUAGCCGACCUGAGAGGGGGAUCGGCCACACUGGGAAUGAGACACGGCCCAGACUCCCACGGGAGGCAGCAGUAGGGAAUCUUCGGCAAUGGACGGAAGUCUGAACGAGCAACGCCGCGGGAGGGAAGAAGGGUCUCGGAUCGUAAAGCUCUGUUGUAAGAGAAGAACGAGUGUGAGAGUGGAAAGUUCACACUGUGACGGUAGCUUACCAGAAAGGGACGGCUAACUACGUG